rnacentral:rRNA from 1 species
GACGAACGCUGGCGGCGUUCCUAAUACAUGCAAGUCGAACGCAGUGGGGACGGGUGAGUAACACGUGGGUAACCUCCCAUCAGAGGGGAUAACACUUGGAAACAGGUGCUAAACCGCUACUGCUGGAUUAACCUGCGUUGCAUUAGCUGGUUGGUGAGUUCACGGCUCACCAAGGCCACGAUGCAUAGCGGUCCGGAGAGGGUGAUCGGCCACACUGGGACUGAGACACGGCCCAGACUCCUACGGGAGGCAGCAGGAGGGAAUCUUCGGCAAUGGACGAAAGACUGACCGAGCAACGCCGCGUGAGUGAAGAAGGUUUUCGGAUCGUAAAACUCUGUUGUUAGAGAAGCGGUAUCUAACCAGAAAGCCACGGCUAACUACGUGCCAGCAGCCGCGGUAAUUC